rnacentral:ribozyme from 1 species
UAUAAGUACGAGGCAUUUGUCUGAGACAUACACACAAACAACAAACAGAGAACACAAAAAUGGAAACAUAUAUAAAUAACACGUAUAUCAAAAGUUGUCUCACUAAAUUCUUUUCUAUUUUGUUAUAUUCUUCU